AAAAAUUAACUGCAGUCGUCUUCCUCCCUUCAAACGAAAAACAUGUAGAUAUUGCGUAGAAACAGGUCAACACGAAAAUCUAGCCGAAACCAAUAAAAAUAUUGUCCCUGUUAAAAAGGAUUUGCACCAAGUCACCAUAACCAUGAAGAUGACCUUGUUUCUUAUGGUAAUGCUUGCUCUCAGCAUUACAGUUCACUGUCAAAAUGCAGGUUUCUGCUCGACUAUGCAAAACACGUGCCAAGAAGAUAACGGGCGAUUUAUCGAGUGCCGGCAAACUCCAGGUCGGGAUGUUGCAGUUUGUCAAAACCCCUCAGGCACCAGGUUCCAAGAUGAGUGCGGUACUUUCAGCGCCUGCGAAAUUAGCGAGACUUCUUCCGGCCGUACGAUUUGUUCUUGCCGAUAUUAACGAACAAAAUCGACGAAAACGAAAAUUAUUUAAUUAAAAUUCAAUAAAUAAAUGAAUAAUUUAUUUCGAAUUUUGAAACUAAAUACGAAUGUUUAUUCAUUGUGAAUUAAUCAAGAUUAAAAGUGAACUGUUUUA